AUUCCUACGAGUUUUGUAAAGUCCAUCCACCACAAUAGAUUAGAUUUCCAAGCAUUGGGGCUUGUUGGAGCAAUAAUCGUCCCAUCAAGCUGGAGCAUACAGUAUUAGCCAGUAAGGACCGGAGAAUGUAAUGGGUCCCACUAGGAACUGAUAUCCUGAUGGAAUCAGCAUCGUUGAUGACUGAACUUUGCAAGCCGCAUCCCAUGCAGCUUCAAAUGCCUGCAUUGUAUAAUGGGGAUGUAUGUUCUCACUCUAUUAGUGGUGUUAAUUGCAAUGGAUUCUGGAAAGCCAAAGAAUGCACGUGAGUGGGUAUGUGGCUUUAAGUUUUGAAGGGUUCUGAUUGUUACAGCUCUCUAUAGAUCACAUGCAGCAGUCACGGGCAAGAGUUUUUUUGUACUUGGUCUCCUCAACUAACUGUUUUUUGUACCUAUGUUUACCAGAGUUGUGUAAUCUGAUUGUCUUGCUCGGAAUCACAAUUUUUUGGAGAUUUUGGAUGACGCUUUCGCAAUGUAUCAAAAUUUUAGUAUUUUUGGCUCACAAUUUAUUUGGGUUAGAGUGUGGGUAGCAAAAAAUGUUGCUGGAUUGCAAAGUACAAGUAUAUUGCUAUGUUGAUAUUCAUUGUUACUGUGAUUUAUUUGGUCUUGUGU